rnacentral:rRNA from 1 species
UACGUAGGUGGCAAGCGUUGUCCGGAUUUAUUGGGUUUAAAGGGUGCGUAGGCGGCUUUGUAAGUCAGUGGUGAAAUACGGUAGCUUAACUAUCGAGGUGCCAUUGAUACUGCAGAGCUUGAGUACAGAUGAGGUAGGCGGAAUUGACGGUGUAGCGGUGAAAUGCUUAGAUAUCGUCAAGAACACCUAUAGCGAAGGCAGCUUACUAGGCUGUAACUGACGCUGAGGCACGAAAAGUGUGGGGGAUCAAAACAGG